UACGUAGGGUGCGAGCGUUAAUCGGAAUUACUGGGCGUAAAGCGUGCGCAGGCGGUUGGCAAAGUCAGCUGUGAAAGCCCCCGGGCUUAACCUGGGGAAUGGCGGUUGAAACUAGUCGACUAGAAUCUGGCAGAGGGGGGGUGGGAAUUCCACGUGUAGCAGUGAAAUGCGUAGAGAUGUGGAGGAACACGAUGGCGAAGGCAGCCCC
rnacentral:rRNA from 1 species